GUAUUGUUAUUACAGGUGGCAGCAUUGUGUUGUUAUUACAGGUGGCAUCAUUGUAUUGUUAUUACAGGUGGCAGCAUUGUAUUGUUAUUACAGGUGGCAGCAUUGUAUUGUUAUUACAGGUGGCAGCAUUGUAUUGUUAUUACAGGUGGCA